rnacentral:misc_RNA from 1 species
AACGCACAUUGCACCUUGUGGUAUUCCACAAGGUAUGCCUGUUUGAGCGUCAUUUCUCCCUCAACCCCCCGGGUUGGCGUUGAAUGGCACGAGCUCUUAGUCAGUCCAUUCGAAAUGUAUUUUCUGUGUUGUUAUUUUCUAAUUUAGUAGUGACAACAACUAAAAACACAUUUUCCUCAAAUCAGGUAGGACUACCCGCUGAACUUAA